AGAAAAGCCGAUGGGAUUUGAGGCCAGUUCGAGCGGAACGGAUGAUAGCUUGCUAUCAGGCGUCGAGCGGCGGACGGGUGAGUAAUACUUAGGAAUCUACCUAGUAGUGGGGGAUAGCACGGGGAAACUCGUAUUAAUACCGCAUACGACCUACGGGAGAAAGGGGGCAGUUUACUGCUCUCGCUAUUAGAUGAGCCUAAGUCGGAUUACCUAGAUGGUGGGGUAAAGGCCUACCAUGGCGACGAUCUGUAGCUGGUCUGAGAGGAUGAUCAGCCACACGGGGACUGAGACACGGCCCGGACUCCUACGGGAGGCAGCAGUGGGGAAUAUUGGACAAUGGGGGAAACCCUGAUCCAGCCGUGCCGCGUGUGUGAAGAAGGCGUUUUGGUUCUAGAGCACUUUAGCAGUGAAGAAAACUCUUCGGUUAGUACGCGGGACGGUG
rnacentral:rRNA from 1 species